rnacentral:lncRNA from 1 species
GUUCAAGUAAGAUUAAAUGGAUCAUAUCUCAAUUCAUAAGCUGAUAAACAACGUCACCAUAAACAUAAACAUUCAUAUCCUGUUAGUUAUACGAUUCUACAUUUACAUUUACUUCCUACCAAAGUUUGUUUAUCUCUGAAGGAAUGCAGCAAAGGUUUUUACUUUUUGAUAACACUAUCACCAUAACAUAUUCAAUAGCUAGUUUUCAAUGAGUGUAUUAAGGACCAUGCUUUUAUAUUUAGAUAACAUGCACAAUUGGUUUGCUCAUCUCUUACAUUCAUACAACGUUGUAAUAUAUCACAGCAAUUUACUUAAAAUAUUCGCAUUGUGUUGUAGGGUUUCUGGAUGUUGACCAAAAUCCCGCUACAAAGUAAGUGUUCCUAUAUUAAUCAAAGCAAUCAUGGGUUUCCAUUCAAUACUUUCCUCAUUAAAAUGUUUCUUUUAUCAAUCGUAUGUAAAUGACAUCUGUCAUAAUCGACUAAAUGCCUAAAUCUACUUGUUUCAGUACCUUGCUUAUCCUUGUUGAUAAGCGCUUUUUGCAUUAAAAAUGAUUUGCCACAUAUCCCAAGCAAACCCAUGAUCAAUAUUUGAAACAAUGUACGUUAUCAUUGAACAUCAGAGAGGGUAAAGGACAAAUUAGUCCAACUGUCUAAUUGUCGAGCCUGCAACUUUUGUUGCAGAAAGCUCGACAUAGGGAUAGUGAUCCGGCGGCGGCGGCGGCUACGGCGGCGGCGUUAGCUAACUUCUUAAAAGCUUUAUAUUUUAGAAGGUGGAAGACCUGGAUGCUUCAUACUUUGUAUAUAGAUGCCUCAUGUUACGAAGUAUCCGUCAGUCACAUGUCCAAUGUCCUUGACCUGAUUUUUAUGGUUCAGUGACCACUUGAAAAAAAAGUUCAGAUUUUUUGUAAUGUUGAAUUCUCUCUUAUUAUAAGUAAUAUGAUAACUAUAUUUGAUAUGUGCGUACCUUGCAAGGUCCUCAUGUCUGUCAGACAGUUUUCACUUGACCUCGACCUAAUUUCAUGAAUCAGUGAACAAGGUAAAGUUUUGGUGGUCAAGUCCAUAUCUCAGAUACUAUAAGCAAUAGGGCUAGUAUAUUCGGUGUAUGGAAGGACUGUAAGGUGUACAUGUCCAACUGGCAGGUGUCAUUUGACCUUGACCUCGUUUUCAUGGUUCAGUGGUUAUAGUUAAAUUUUUGUGUUUUGGUCUGUUUUUCUCAUACUAUAUGCAAUAGGUCUACUAUAUUUGUUGUAUGGAAUGAUUGUAAGGUGUACAUGUCUAGCGGGCAGAUGUCAUGUGACCUUGACCUCAUUUUCAUGGUUCAGUGGUCAAAGUUAAGUUUUUGAGUUUUGGUCUUUUUAUCUAAUUCUAUAUGCCAUAGGUCAACUAUAUUUGGUGUAUGAAAAUAUUUUAUGAUCUUUAUGUCAGUCGCGCAGGUUUUAUUUGACCGUGACCUCAUUUUCAGGGAUGAUUGCACAGUGUUAAGUUUUUGUGUUUUGGUCUAUUUUUCUUAAACUACAAGUAAUAGGUCAACUAUAUAUGUUGUAGAGAAGCAUUGUUAGCUGUAUAUGUCUGCUUGGCAGGGUUUAUCUGACCUUGACCUCAUUUUCAAGGUUCAUUGGUCUUUGUUUAGUUAUCUUGGUUAAUGUUCUGUUUGUGUGAUAGUUGUAAUAAAGCUUAGCUUUAUACUUAGGACUAUCAACAUAAUAUCAAUGAUUAGUAAAGAAGGCGAGACAUUUCAGCGUGUGCACUCUUGUUUGUUAAAUGGCAUCAUCGUACUGAGUGUACGAAUAGCUUGCAAUUAGUUUUGAUAACUAGCAGCGUCAUUAUUGCAAUUAGAAUGUUUGAAAUAGUUAUCAAAAGUACCAGGAUUAUAAUUUAGUACGCCAGACGCGCGUUUCGUCUACAUAGGACUCAUCAGUGACGCUCAUAUCAAAAUAGUUAUAAAGCCUUACAAUAUAAAAGCUGAAGAGCAUAGAGGAUCCAAAAUUCCAAAAAGUUGUGCAAAAUACGGCUAAGGUAAUCUAUUCCUGGGACAAGAAAAUCCUGAGUUUUUCGAAAAAUUCAAAGUUUUGUAUGAGGAAAUUUAAAGAAAUGAUCACAUAAUUGAUAUUCAUGUCAACAUCGAAGUGCUGACUACUGGGCUGGUGAUACCCUCGGGGACGAAACGUCCACCAGCAGUGGCAUCGACCCAGUGGUGUAAAUAGCUAUCAAAAGUACCAGAAUUAUAAUUUAGUACGCCAGACGCGCGUUUCGUCUACAUAAGACUCACCAGUGACGGUCAUAUCAAAAUAGUUAUAAAGCCAAACAAUAUAAAAGUUGAAGAGCAUAGAGGAUCCAAAAUUCCAAAAAGUUGUGCCAAAUACGGCUAACGUAAUCUAUUCCUGGGACAAGAAAAUCCUUAGUUUUUCGAAAAUUCAAAGUUUUGUAUCAGGAACUUUAUAAAAAUGAUCACAUAAUUGAUAUUCAUGUCAACACCGAAGUGCUGACUACUGGACUGGUGAUACCCUCGGGGACGAAACGUCCACCAGCAGUGGCAUCGACCCAGUGGUGUCAAUAGUUAUCAAAAGUACCAGGAUUAUAAUUUAGUACGCCAGACGCGCGUUUCGUCUACAUAAGACUCAUCAGUGACGCUCAUAUCAAAAUAGUUAUAAAGCCAAACAAUAUAAAAGUUGAAACUUGUCCUUUAUAGGCAUUUCGGUUGCCGGUUGGUCCAAGAAGAUGUCUUUUAUAUUUCAAUGGGGUUCCUGUUCUCUUAAUUUAGUUUGCCUUAAGCAAAUGUUAUGAAACUAACCCCAUGCUUAUUUUCACAAAAUAUAAUUUGUGUGGUGUCUCUUUUAUUGUGAUAGAGUUACAACCCUUUACAAAUGGUAUAAUUGUUUAAUUUUCGUUUUCAUUCUCAACCAAAUGUUAUGAAACUUAUACAUAAUAGUAAUUGCCAUACAAAUCAGAUUUAGUACAAAUUCGGGCAACGCCGUUUGUACCGUUUUGCAGUUGAGUCCCUUUUCAAUUUUAUAUGAUAUAGCGGAAGCAUCAUAAUUGUCCAAUGAACACAUUCGCCAUUUAAUUUUUAAUUUUAUAUUAUCUUGAGCUUAAUACUGAAAAUUAAAAUAUUCUUUUAAUAAUAUACUUCAUAAUAUUUGUUUUGCAUACUCAAACAGAUAACAGAUCCCAAUACACACCAGCACAGUGGUCCGCAGUGAUCCCUAACACCAGAUUUGUUUUUGUUAAUUGUAUCCAAUUUAAGCCGUCAGUUGUUUUUUUGUCGCUUGAAUAGUGUCAUAUGUUUUUCAUGUUUGAGCCUUUUAUAACCAGCUAGUAUAUGGAACGAUUGUUUUGGCCAUUUUUCAAGGUCUUUAUGCAAAGGAGGACUUUCAAUUGCUUUUAACUUCGUAAUUCGAACUCCGAUAGACAUUUGAGUCAUUGAUACUCAUACCACAUCUUUUUAGUAAUACAUGUGUACUAAAAAUUUAGAAAAUUUAUACAACUACAGUAUGUAUAUACGAUUCGAAAAUUCUGUUCGUACUUUCUUUGACCGAUCACAAAAAGUUGUAAGAUGCAAUGUUCGUGACAUCUAGAUCAAAUAGCAAGAAUUAACAAUUUAAAUCUUGCAAGAACUACAAGUUUUAGCAUCCACAUUUCCCCCCCCCCCCAAAAUCAUGUACAACCUAAUAAAAAUAUUGAUCAAUUCAAACAAACACCUAUUAUACAUGUUUUGAAAUAGAAUAUGCAGUCUUGUUAGAAUGUAGAAUUUAUAGAGAAAAGUUCUGGAAGAAUGAUAAAAUAGCUGUAAAAGCAACGUAAUUCUUUUGAAUCAAUCAAUGAUUGUUUGGCUAUAAAAAAAUAAUCUUUUGUUUGUCGGCCAAUGGUAUUUAUUAACUAAGAUUAUAGAUAAAUUAUUUUCGAAUAUUAUAUUCUUUCCUGAGCGCCUACAGUCAUCCACAUUAUUAUAUCAAACCCUGUGGUAGAGUUUUUUUAGGACCGUUUUCGUUUGUUCGCCUGCUUUGUAUUUGUCAAGGAGUUACAAUCAUCUGUCAAAAAAAAUUAGUGAUUAAUUGAAAGUAUACAAAGAUGGUCUGUCAAUAAAUACGAUUAAUUUUUUAUGAAACAAAUUGUGUGUCAAAAAAUAUGUUUUCAAGUAUUUUUAACAUAAACAUUGAUAAAGCAGACCAUUAUUAUUUUUUGGCGAAAAAUUUUCUUUAUUUUUGAGCAAAUCAUUAUUAUUUCAUUAAAUAUAGGGUUUACCUUUGUUUUGCCAAAGGUUUUUUUUUUUUUUUUUUAAAGUUUAUAAUCAUAUCCUUAUUUAUCUAUCUAUUGAUUUUGUAUUUUAGCAGGUUGACUUUUUAAAACAUGAACAAAACUUUCAAUCUAUGCUUUGCACCAAAAACAACAAAGUGAAUAUUAAGGAAUGUUCGAAAGAUGUUUGUUCAUGCUAACCAUUACCAUGAAACUUAAAUUAAAAUUUCGAAAUUCCACGCCUUAAAUUCCAUCUAAAAUCAUCACCUUCUUCCGAUCUUUUUUUUCACGUUCUCUUCAAAAUAAUAUCUGCUGUAUAUACCAUAUGUACUGUACAUACAACUGAAAACCUUUUUUUCUGGCUGAUUGCAGUGUCUUAGCAACUUUGUGAUUGAAAUUAAUUGAUGAUUCAAAAUUCAUUAGCACUCAAUACAUUCUAUUUUUCGUUUUGUGGUUAUAAAUAGUUGAAUAACAAUGUUUUUUUCCUAUCAAUUUUAACUCAUUUGAUUGAAAUAUCUGAUUAAAGGCGUGGUUUAUUAAAGAUAUAUCAUUGAUAUUUUAAUGAUCAUUUGAUAAUUGUUUUUUAUUGAUUUGUUUUUAAUGCUUCCUAAUUUCUUAUACUCAAGACAGAAUUGCAAUUGCUCUGACAUAUUUUUGAAAUAAGAACUGCCCUUCCCUGAUUUAAGAUCUUGAAUCGAGCGAAUUUGAACCGUUCAUAUAAUUUAAAACCCGGUAAGAAGAUUUUGCAACUAAUUGGCUUUCUUAUUCAUAUUAUUGUAUAUGAUUUAGAUGUGUGUGAAGUUUGUGCAUUACAAUACUUUUUUUAUCAUUAACAUCACUUUACUAAACUGAGUUCAGUAAUUUCAAAUUAUUUAACGGUACUUUUUUUUCAUACAUCAAAUAUGAGUUCACUCACAAAGAUUUAGAUGGAGGAGGUCCAAUACCUAUUAAAGAUAGUUUUUCAAUAUCGCAUAUUAAUAUUGCUACCAAUAGUGAGAUGUCUCGUAAAAAUGCACAUGCUAUUUAUGAUUUUACGGUAGACAAGUCUUAUUGAGACAAACGUAUAUGAAAUUAAAAAUUGUGCUUUGUCUCUACGCCUUUUGUUUUUAUUUGUUACAUAUUUCUUUGUUUUAAAGUGUUAAGAUUGUAACUCAAUGUUGGCUGCUUUACCCCUAUUUGUUUUAUAUUUCUACCCAUGUGUGUGGCUGUUAUACCAGUAAGAAGGUUACCUAGAUAUAAAACCAUGACUGUUUAAUUCACCAUUUUCUACAUAAAAAAUGCUGUACCAAGUCAGGAAUAUGACAGUUGUUAUCCUUUGGAUGUGUUGGUGGCUUCUAAAGAAUCCACGUUAUAAUGGUAGAACGAAUGACGUUUAAACAUCGAUACGUAUAAAUGAUUAUUACAUAGACAUUGUUAACGUCAUAAAUAUAUGUACACAUCUCGCAAUUAAAUUUAGGAAGUCUCUUUAUCUUAAACACCAGUUUUCUAUUUGUACUUACCAGAACAUCUUGGCUGAAGUCAUCUUUUAAAUUAAAUUUAACAUAGAAGUUUCAUCGUAACAGUCUGUUUCGCAACAUGAACACUCGUGUUUAUCCAAUAAUUCACCAUUAGUUUUUAGAUAUUAUGCGCGCAUUAAAGGGAACAAUUACAAGCUGUAUAAAAGCUGUAGAUGUUCCUAAUUUUUUUUUUAUAGGAAAUCGCAAAUAAAUGCAAGCGUACUAUAAGCAGAAUUAGAUUAAAUUCCAGUCGACGGUUUUUGUUAAUUCUGAAUUUAACAUUUUUUUUUGGGAAAACAGAAUCAUGGAUUCAUUGCUUUUGCAUGCACCUAUGUAUUGAAAAUAGAGUUCAUAUUGGUAAAAAAAUAAGUCAUUUCUUCACCAUUGUGAUUUUGUUUAAUGAUUGGAAUUUCAAAACAACUUCGUUAUUUUUAUCUCUAAAGAAGUCGCUUCCCACUAUCCUACGGCCUGUCGAUACAUUUAUUAUUGGCAUUGCACAAGUCAUGUCUUCUUUGACUUUUCAUGAUGUUAAGAUACUAAAUCCCUGGGAUGUGUUUUAGUUGAUUUCAGUCUCUGACGCAUGAUUUUUUUUAUUAUUAAUUGUUUUUGGCUUUUAACUAGCUGCCAGUAACUGCGAGUACUCUCAAAUCGUACUUUCUUGUUGAAUGAAUGAAUUAAUAUAUUUUAUUGCAGAAGCAAACAUAAUGCUAUAGCAAAAUAACAUAAUAUACAAUUACAAUAAUGACAGUAAACAAACAGAGAACAACACAAUAUGGUGAUAAUAAGCACAUAAUUACAACUGCUAUACAAUGAUUAUUGUGAUCUUAACUUCUAUGCCGCUAUAAGAAAUUUACACAAUUGUUCAGUUAAACUCUUUGAGCUAGCCUGUAAAAGAAAUACAUCUUUCUAUUAGUUGGCCAUGAAAAAUAAUAUUUUGGUAAAAACUGUAGUCUCAAUGAUCUAACGGUGGUACAUACAAGAACAACAUGGUACUCGUUUUCAAUACAAUUCAUAUGACAGAAUAUACAUAUACGAUUUUCUCUUACAAUAUUGUAAACGACCAACUUCAAUAUUUAGUUUUAAUGUUCCACUACGCAGUCUAGUCAGUAUAUUACUACAAAAAUCAUAAUUUUAGUAAUCUUCUAAACAAAACUCAUUUUUCAAUGUUCUAUGUAAACACAAUUUUUCACAACCGUUCAAAGUAGUAAAUUGGUCAUUUAUACGACAUUUUAUAUAUUCAAAUGCAACAUUAGUGUUCUCUUGAUCAUUCCAUACAUAAUUCAUACCUAGACUAAAUAAUAAAUCACGAACAUGUGAUACAAGUUUCUCUUGUUUCUCUUGCCAUUUGAGGUAUCAAUGCGGAGGAGGUUAUAAAUAUCAUAUACCAUAUUAGGUUUAUCAUAUAUUAUAUGCAACCAAAACUUUAUAAUUCUAUGUUUCCUUAAAAUGAACAGAGGUAGAUGACCAAGUUCACCACACAAAAAGGCGAAUUGGUACAUUUUUACCAAGCUUUAAUAUAAAACGACAAAAACGAUUAUGAACGAGUUCAAUUGCAUUGGCUCGAUGAAAUCCCCAAAUUUCAGAUGCAUAGUUAAGUAUAGAGGUCACCAUACUGUUAAACAAGAAACAAGCUUGACUAUGUUCAAUAUAAAUUCGACCUGUUGAUACUGUUUGUAUUGCUUUUUCGUUAUUUAAUAUUAAUAUCAGACUUUGGGUCAAUUAAAUUGGAUUGUAAUUAAUUAAAUUAUACAUUAAAUUACAAAAACGAUCAAUUACACGUCUAAUUAAAAAGUACACAGUUUUUGAAAUCUAAUUAAUUAAAUUAUAAUUACUUUACUAAUUAAAAGUAAUUAAUAAAAUUACACAUCACAUUUCAUCAUAAUAUUUUUUAACAAUAUUAAACAUGUAUAUAUAAUGCAUGUGCAUAAUUUUCAUGUAAGCAUACUUUAAGUGUUGCAUUUGAUAAUCAGUAGUAAUUUUAAUAUACAUGUUUUGUCAUUAGGGCUGCAUCUCUCUGGUCUAAACCCUUUGACAGCAAUUCUAAAUAGUCUUUCGACAGGAGCUGUAGCAGAUAUUACUUUGAUCAGAAAAUGGAAGUAUUAAUACUUCCAUGAUCAGAAGAUGUAUUGAUAGGAGAGGGAAUUUGUUCCUAUUAACUUGCCAAUACAUUAAGGGGUAUUUUAACAUCUCAAAAAUGAAGUCAUUUGAAUUAGACAUUAUAUGAAUAAAGAUAUUAUAAAUGAAUAAAAAACAUUUGUUUUACGUUAAACAUAUUAAAAAGUAUGCUUGUCACAAUAUUAAAAAAAUUUGUAUAAAAAAAUGUAUAUAAUGUCUAAAUAUUAGCAAUAUUUUUCUAAUUAGAUACAAUACAUGUACUAGUGGCAUUGUCCUUGAACAUUUUAAUCUUAUUGGUUACUGUUUGUUUUUACAGCUGUUAAUUUUAUUUCUAUGAUCUUUUUGUGUGUACUAAUUUGACAAAAUGAUUGUGUGCAGAGUUUUUAAAUUCUAAAUGAACUAAGACAGAUUUUUCACCCAUUUGUUGUUUUGUUAACAAGGUAAUUAUUUGUUUAUCAAACUAUUUAGUUAAAGAUUUUCUUAAAAACUGAACAACACUAAUAUAUGAUUCUCACUUUUUUUUUUAAAUUAAGACUAAAUAAAUAUAUUUAGAAAAAACUCUGUGGGUCAAAUACAUAAUAUAAAAACUUCAGAAAAAUUACAGACUUCAUAUAUUAAGAAAGUAUGUGAUAUCAAUAUUUGAAAAAAUAAAUAUAAUUUUCAAUUUUUAUUAUUAAACAUCAAUCCUUAUCAUUAACACAAUAAACGUACAUGUAAUUGAAAUGUAGUUCAAAAGUAAUUGAGCAGUACAUGCUUUUUUCAUUGUAAUUAAUUAAAUUACCAUUACAUAUAAUUUAAAAAUGCUCAAUUACACUUUACAUGUACAAGGAAAAUUGUAAUACAUUACAAUUAAUCACCAUUUGAUUAAUAUGGGACUUGAUUAUUUGGAAUAUCUACUAAUUUACACUUAUUCGCACUACAUUUGUAUGAACAUCAAGAGUAUUCUCCUCAAAUAUGUACAGGGAAGAUUUAGCUAGCUCUAAUUGUAUAAUUGUAUUGCUGAUAUUCCCUCCGAUUUGAAUCUAGUGUUACAUUAGGUAUUUAUAUGACAGAACAACCGGGUAUUCCUAAUUGUUGGAAGAAUUUAUAUAAACAGAAGUAGUAUACCUAAAACGACAAAGUUAUUUUUCAUUUACCUGUAUAUAAUAUGAAAACCAUUUUUUCAAUAGUGAUUGUUUUCGAAGGGUUAAAUAUUUCGCGGUGGUGUCUUGCCAUGACUUUGUUUGGACUUGUUUGUUUUGCUUUUUGGCCAUGAAUGUUUGUCCCUACAUUUUAUUAACUAUGCAUUUGCAUUCAGGUAUCGCAGAUCGAAUUUAUUCGUUCAUAGUGUGUUAAUUUACGUUUUUGGAUUGAGUGAAAAGUAAAAUCACAAAAAUACUGAACUUAGAGGAAGAUCAAUUGGGAAAGUCCAUAAUCACAUGGCAAAAUCAAAUAACAAAACGCAUCAAAAACGAAUGGACAAAAACUGUCAUAUUCCUGACUUGGUACAGGCAUUUUCAAAUGUAGAAAAUGGUGGAUUAAACCUGGUUCUAUAGCGCUAACCCUCUCAAGCCUUCCAAUUGAUAUUUUAUCGUGUGUUUUUCUAUGUUGUGAUGUUAUGCUGUUGUUUCAGAAAAGGGAAAAGGUUUGGUACCAUUAAAACGUUUAAUCCCGCUGCAAAUGUUUGCACCUAUUCUAAGUCAGGAAUCUGAUGUAUAGUAGUUGUCGUUUGUUUAUGUAAUUUAUACGUGUUUCUUGUGUCUUUUUUUACAUAGAUUAGGCCGUUGUUUUUCCCGUUUGAAGGGUUUAACACUAGUAAUUUUGGGGCCCUUUAUAGCUCGGUGUUUGGUGUGAGCCGAGACUCCAUGUUGAAGGCGGUACAGUGACCUAUAAUGAUUUAUUUUCAUAAAUUCUAAUUUGGAUAGAGAGUUGUCUCAUUGGCACUCACACCACAUCUUCCUGUAUCUAUUAGUUGACUUUAUUUAUUGGUAUAUGUUGCACAUGUACACAUGACAUGAUUCAUUUAUGCUAUUUCAAUCAAGUCCUUCUUUUGUCCAGCAUUCCAUCACCAAAUUUAAAAACAAAAAAUACAUUUGUUUUGUCAACUCUAUUUGUGCCAAGAGUGACACCAAAAAGUGUCAUUUCAGAGCACGUGAAUGCACCAACGCUUUUAAUGAUGUCGCGUUGCUCUAGUUUCAGCUAUCUAUUAUGUGUUUUGUAGAAUGCUUUUAUGCGUCUGUUUAUCGAUUAUUUGUUGACCAUGAUUUUGGUUUUUGUUUUCCGAAGUACUGGUUUUGACUGUCUAUGAUAACUAAUAACUUUAUGUGCAAUAUAAUAUAAACCUUAUACGCGUUAUUUUAUUCUGAACCCUUGGAAGACAAUAAAUGUCUAGUUGCAAACAUUAAAAAAUCAUAUGUGAUCUGUUGUUAGGUGUAAAAUAUAAAUUAAUAUUCCAUUGGAGACAUCUUCAUUGGUAAGCGGGAAAAUUCGUUAUCGCUAUCAAUUGUUUUUACCUAUAUGCAGUAACGCAUCUGUCUUUCAUGACUGCAGAAAAUCUUUAAUAUUAUCUCAUGAAGCAAUAUAAAUAUUUUUUUUACUUUUUAGAUGCACUUACUGUCAUAAUAAAGAGGCAAGUCAGAUUUUAUGUUACGACAAUGACUUUGAAAUAUUCAUCUGCGAUAAUUGUUUAAUAGAACAUCGAAUGAAAAACAAAAAUCAUAAGUGUUUCUAUCAAUCCAAAAUUUUACGCGAAUAUGAACUA